CAGUCGAGCGCAGGAAGCAAGCUGAUCCCCUUCGGGGGUGACGCUUGUGGAAUGAGCGGCGGACGGGUGAGUAACACGUGGGCAACCUGCCUGUAAGACUGGGAUAACCCCGGGAAACCGGGGCUAAUACCGGAUAAUACUUUCUUUUGCAUAAAGGAAAGUUGAAAGGCGGCUUCGGCUGUCACUUACAGAUGGGCCCGCGGCGCAUUAGCUAGUUGGUGAGGUAACGGCUCACCAAGGCGACGAUGCGUAGCCGACCUGAGAGGGUGAUCGGCCACACUGGGACUGAGACACGGCCCAGACUCCUACGGGAGGCAGCAGUAGGGAAUCUUCCGCAAUGGACGAAAGUCUGACGGAGCAACGCCGCGUGAGUGAUGAAGGUUUUCGGAUCGUAAAACUCUGUUGUUAGGGAAGAACAAGUUGGGUAGUAACUGACCCAACCUUGACGGUACCUAACCAGAAAGCCACGGCUAACUGACGCUGCCAGCAGCCGCGGUAAUAGCGUAGGUGAGCGAAGCAGGAUUAGAUACCCUGGAAGUCCACUGCGCGUAAAGCGAUCGCAGUGCUAGGUCCUUUAAGGCUGAUGUGAAAUCUCGCCCCUUAGUGCUCAACCGCGAACGGUCAUUGGAAGCACUCCGCCUGAGGACUUGAGUACAGCCGCAAGAGCUGAAACUCAAAAGAAUUCCACGUGUAGCGGCCCGCACAAUGCGGUAGAGCAUGUGGUUUAAUUCGAAGCAACAGUGGCGAAGAACGACUCUACCAGGUCUGUGACAUCCUCUGCUAUUCCUAGAGAUAGGAAGUUCCCUUCGGGGACAGAGUGACAGGUGGUGCAUGGUUGUCGUCAGCUCGUGUCGUGAGAUGUUGGGUUAAGUCCCGCAACGAGCGCAACCCUUGAUCUUAGUUGCCAGCAUUUAGUUGGGCACUCUAAGGUGACUGCCGGUGACAAACCGGAGGAAGGUGGGGAUGACGUCAAAUCAUCAUGCCCCUUAUGACCUGGGCUACACACGUGCUACAAUGGAUGGAACAAAGGGAAGCAAAACCGCGAGGUCAAGCAAAUCCCAUAAAACCAUUCUCAGUUCGGAUUGCAGGCUGCAACUCGCCUGCAUGAAGCCGGAAUCGCUAGUAAUCGCGGAUCAGCAUGCCGCGGUGAAUACGUUCCCGGGCCUUGUACACACCGCCCGUCACACCACGAGAGUUGGUAACACCCGAAGUCGGUGAGGUAACCUUUGGAGCCA
rnacentral:rRNA from 1 species